CGAAUUAACUGGUUCUGUCUGUACGACUGGGAGAGCAGCUCUCGCUAAAAAUAGCGCCCUGCCCAGCUCGACCUGUGCGCCGCCGUGGGAUUCUGAGCCGGGACAGCUCGAGGAGCCCGGGAGCCCUGCACACCCCUCACCCGGACCGACCCCGGAGGCGGAGGCCGCGGGCACCGCGCUGGCCCCACAGGUGCCGCGGAGGGUGGCAAGCCCGCUGGCCGAGGCACUGCCGAGGCCGUCCGAGAUGGGAGCCGGCGGUGCCUCCUUCCGCGCCCUCGCCUGGGCCUCCCUGCCCCUGCUGGGGCCUCCAGCCUGCGCGCUCUGCGAGGACACGCUCUGCUGCGGAGAGUCGCCUCAAGAAAGGCCGGGCUCUCGGCGCAGCCUGCCCGGCAGCCUCUCCGAGAAGAGCCCCAGCAUGGAGCCCUCGGCCACCACGCCGUUCCGGGUCACGG
rnacentral:sRNA from 1 species